AACUUUUAACAACGGAUCUCUUGGUUCUGGCAUCGAUGAAGAACGCAGCGAAAUGCGAUAAGUAAUGUGAAUUGCAGAAUUCAGUGAAUCAUCGAAUCUUUGAACGCACAUUGCGCCCCCUGGUAUUCCGGGGGGCAUGCCUGUUCGAGCGUCAU
rnacentral:rRNA from 10 species